CGCACGAUGCAAAAAGCUCUAAGAACGUUUGAAAGAAACGGGAAAACCACCCACCCGACCCCACUCGACCCCCACCCGCCCCUGUCACUCCCACGGGUGACAUUCCCGAAUUGGGCUGGAUAUGGGGCGGGUUGGCGGGCAUAUGCUCGCGGCGACAACCACAGACAUGCGUCGGCCCCCGGCCGGGACUGCAAUCCCGAUCGAGGGCCUGACCAUCAAGGAAGUUCGGAGCUUCCCG
rnacentral:ncRNA from 1 species